GGUUCCCCUCGCGGCCUUCGCAAGGGUCUAGCCACAUUGGCUACGCUCACCGCUUGGUGCAUCUGGAGACACCGCAACCGUUGCGUGUUCGAUGGCGACUCCCCUUCCGCCUCAAGGCUUCUUGCAGCUAUCCAGGACGAGGCUAGGACCUGGGCUCGAGCUGGUGCUCGCGGACUCAAUCCUUUGCUGGCAUAG
rnacentral:rRNA from 1 species